rnacentral:ncRNA from 1 species
CCCAAUUCAUAUUGUUCAGGUGCCUUAAAAAGCCUAACAGGGAAUCCCGUGAAAUUCGGGAACGAGCCCGUCGCUGUAACCGGGGACGAAAAGAGCAUAUACGUCACUGAUCCAUUGCUUUUGGGAUUGGGAAGACGCUCUUGAGUAGGAUGAUCCGGAAGUCAGAAGACCUGCCUGAACAAGAGCCUAUUA